UUGCCGGUAAGUAUAGGAAUAAGCAUCGGCUAACUCCGUGCCAGCAGCCCGCGGAUAAUCACGGAGGAUGCAAGCGUUAUCCGGAUUCAUUCGGGUUUAAAGGGUGCGCAGGUGGGCAUUUGUAAGUCCAGUGGUGAAAUGCUUGCCGCUUAACGGUAAAGGAUUAGCCGAUUGAUACUGCGAAUUCUUGAAUAUGGUUGAGGUAGGCGGGAAUGUGUUGUGUAGCGGUGAAAUGCAAUAGAUACUGACACAAGAACGACCGGAUUGCGAAGGCAGCUUACUAAGCCAUUAUUGACACUGAGGCACGAAAGCGUGGGGAGCGAACAGGAUUAGAUACCCUGGUAGUCCACGCUGUAAACGAUGUUCACUCGCUGUUUGCGAUACACAGUAAGCGGCUGAGCGAAAGCAUUAAAGUGAACCACCUGGGGAGUACGAUCGCAAGGUUGAAACUCAAAGGAAUUGACGGGGGCCCGCACAAGCGGAGGGAACAUGUGGUUUAAUUCGAUGAUACGCGAGGAACCUUACCUGGGCUUAAAUGUAGGCUGCAUAAAUUGGAAACAAUUUUUCCCUUCGGGGCUGCUUACAAGGUGCUGCAUGGUUGUCGUCAGCUCGUGCCGUGAGGUGUCGGGUUAAGUCCCAUAACGAGCGCAACCCUUACCGUUAGUUGCCAUCAGGUUAUGCUGGGGACUCUAGCGGGACUGCCACCGUAAGGUGAGAGGAAGGUGGGGAUGACGUCAAAUCAGCACGGCCCUUAUGUCCAGGGCUACACACGUGUUACAAUGGCCGGUACAAAGGGCAGCUACCUGGCAACAGGAUGCUAAUCUCGAAAGCCGGUCCCAGUUCGGAUUGGAGUCUGCAACCCGACUCCAUGAAGUUGGAUUCGCUAGUAAUCGCGCAUCAGCCAUGGCGCGGUGAAUACGUUCCCGGGCCUUGUACACACCGCCCGUCAAACCAUGGGAGCUGGGGGUGCCUGAAGUCUGCGACCGCAAGGAGCGGCCUAGGAA
rnacentral:rRNA from 1 species